rnacentral:rRNA from 1 species
UAUGCAGGCGGAUCGUUAAGUCGGGGGUGAAAUCCCGAGGCUCAACCUCGGAACUGCCUUCGAUACUGACGAUCUUGAGUCCGGGAGAGGUGAGUGGAACUCCGAGUGUAGAGGUGAAAUUCGUAGAUAUUCGGAAGAACACCAGUGGCGAAGGCGGCUCACUGGCCCGGCACUGACGCUGAGAUACGAAAGCGUGGGGAGCAAACAGGAUUAGAUACCCUGGUAGUCCACGCCGUAAACGAUGGAUGCUAGCCGUCGGGGAGCAUGCUCUUCGGUGGCGCAGCUAACGCAAUAAGCAUCCCGCCUGGGGAGUACGAUCGCAAGAUUAAA